rnacentral:rRNA from 1 species
UACGUAGGGGGCAAGCGUUGUCCGGAAUCAUUGGGCGUAAAGAGCGUGUAGGCGGCCAGAUAAGUCCGCUGUGAAAUCUCGAGGCUCAACUUCGAGCUGUCGGUGGAAACUAUCUGGCUAGAGUCCGGAAGAGGAGAAUGGAAUUCCUGGUGUAGCGGUGAAAUGCGCAGAUAUCAGGAAGAACACCCGUGGCGAAGGCGGUUCUCUGGGACGGUACUGACGCUGAGGAGCGAAAGCGUGGGGAGCGAUCCGG